AUUGAACGCUGGCGGCAGGCCUAACAAAUGCAAGUAGAGCGAGCGGCGGACGGGGGAGUAAAGUGUGGGAGAAUGCGCGAUGGAGGGGGGGAAAUACAGGAAACGGUAGCUAAUACCGCAUACCACCAGAUGUGUCCCGAUGGGAGAAGCGAGUUGGUGGGGUAAAGGCUCACCUAGGCGACGAUCCCUAGCUGGUCUGAGAGGAUGACCAGCCACACUGGAACUGAGACACGGUCCAGACUCCUACGUGAGGCAGCAGUGGGGAAUAUUGCACAAUGGGCUCAAGCCUUAUGCAGCCAUGCCGCGUGUGUGAAGAAGGCCUUCGGGUUGUAAAGCACUUUCAGCGGGGAGGCGUUACCCGCAGAAGAAGCACCGGCUAACUCCGUGCCAGCAGCCGCGGUAAUUC
rnacentral:rRNA from 1 species